rnacentral:misc_RNA from 1 species
GAUGAAGAACGUAGCGAAAUGCGAUAAGUAGUGUGAAUUGCAGAAUUCAGUGAAUCAUCGAAUCUUUGAACGCACAUUGCGCCCUUUGGUAUUCCUUAGGGCAUGCCUGUUCGAGCGUCAUUUAAACCUUCAAGCUAAGCUUGGUGUUGGGUGUCUGUCCGCUUCACUGCGGACUCGCCUCAAAAUUAUUGGCGGCCGGUACAUUGGCUUCGAGCGCAGCAGAAACGCGAACUCGGGCCCGUCGUAUUGGCUCCCAGAAGCUAUCUUCACAAUUUUGACCUCGGAUCAGGUAGGGAUACCCGCUGAACUUAAGCAUAUCAAUAAGCGGAGGA